rnacentral:rRNA from 1 species
GUGCCAGCAGCCCGCGGUAAUACGGGGGGAGCGAGCGUUAAUCGGAUUUAUUGGGCGUAAAGAGCGUGUAGGCGGCAAAGCAGGUCUGUUGUGAAAACUGGAGGCUCAACCUCCAGACGUCGACAGAAACCGCUUGGCUAGAGUCCGGAAGAGGAGAGUGGAAUUCCUGGUGUAGCGGUGAAAUGCGCAGAUAUCAGGAAGAACACCAAUGGCGAAGGCAGCUCUCUGGGACGGUACUGACGCUGAGACGCGAAAGCGUGGGGAGCGAACAGGAUUAGAUACCCUGGUAGUCCACGCCGUAAACGAUGGGUGCUAGGUGUGGGGGGUGUCGACUCCCCCCGUGCCGCAGCUAACGCAUUAAGCACCCCGCCUGGGGAGUACGGCCGCAAGGCUAAAACUCAAAGGAAUUGACGGGGACCCGCACAAGCAGCGGAGCAUGUGGUUUAAUUCGAUGCAACGCGAAGAACCUUACCAGGGCUUGACAUGCACUAGAAAACCGUAGAAAUACGGUCCUCCUUCGGGACUGGUGCACAGGUGGUGCAUGGCUGUCGUCAGCUCGUGUCGUGAGAUGUCGGGUUAAGUCCCGCAGCGAGCGCAACCCCUGUCCUAUGUUGCCAGCGAGUAAUGUCGGGGACUCAUGGGAGACUGCCGGUGACAAAUCGGAGGAAGGUGGGGAUGACGUCAAGUCAUCAUGCCCCUUAUGUCCUGGGCUACACACGUGCUACAUUGGCCGGUACAAAGGGCUGCAAACUCGCGAGAGUGAGCGAACCCCAAAAAGCCGGUCCCGGUUCGGAUUGAAGGCUGAAACUCGCCUUCAUGAAGGCGGAGUUGCUAGUAAUCGCGGAUCAGCAGCGCCGCGGUGAAUACGUACACGGGUCUUGUACACACCG